rnacentral:rRNA from 1 species
AUUGAACGCUGGCGGCAGGCUUAACACAUGCAAGUCGAGCGGGGUGAGGUGCUUCGGUACUGAUCCUAGCGGCGGACGGGUGAGUAAUGCUUAGGAAUCUGCCAUUUAGUGGGGGACAACAUUCCGAAAGGGAUGCUAAUACCGCAUACGUCCUACGGGAGAAAGCAGGGGAUCUUCGGACCUUGCGCUAAAUGAUGAGCCUAAGUCGGAUUAGCUAGUUGGUGGGGUAAAGGCCUACCAAGGCGACGAUCUGUAGCGGGUCUGAGAGGAUGAUCCGCCACACUGGGACUGAGACACGGCCCAGACUCCUACGGGAGGCAGCAGUGGGGAAUAUUGGACAAUGGGCGGAAGCCUGAUCCAGCCAUGCCGCGUGUGUGAAGAAGGCCUUUUGGUUGUAAAGCACUCUAGGCGAGGAGGAGGCUACCUGGAUUAAUACUCUGGGAUAGUGGACGUUACUCGCAGAAUAAGCACCGGCUAACUCUGUGCCAGCCGCCGCCGUAAUAC